ACGAACGCUGGCGGCGUGCCUAAUACAUGCAGGUCGAACGGUCUUUCUAUGGAAGCUUGCUUCCACUGAGAAGAUAGUGGCGAACGGGUGAGUAACACGUGGGUAACCUGCCCAUAAGAGGGGGGAUAACAUCCGGAAACGGGUGCUAAUACCGCAUAGUUUUCUUGAUCGCAUGAUCGGGAAAGGAAAGACGGCCUUUGUGCUGUCGCAUAUGGAUGGACCCGCGGCGUAUUAGUUAGUUGGUGAGGUAACGGCUCACCAAGACGAUGAUACGUAGCCGACCUGAGAGGGUGAUCGGCCACAUUGGGACUGAGACACGGCCCAAACUCCUACGGGAGGCAGCAGUAGGGAAUCUUCCGCAAUGGACGAAAGUCUGACGGAGCAACGCCGCGUGAGUGAAGAAAGGUUUUCGGAUCGUAAAACUCUGUUGUCAGAGAAGAACAAGUUGGAGAGUAACUGCUCCAGCCUUGACGGUAUCUGACCAGAAAGCCACGGCUAACUACGUGCCAGCAGCGGC
rnacentral:rRNA from 1 species